UACGUAGGGCGCAAGCGUUGUCCGGAAUUAUUGGGCGUAAAGAGCUCGUAGGCGGUUUGUCGCGUCUGCUGUGAAAACCUAAGGCUCAACCUUGGGCUUGCAGUGGGUACGGGCAGACUAGAGUGCGGUAGGGGUGACUGGAAUUCCUGGUGUAGCGGUGGAAUGCGCAGAUAUCAGGAGGAACACCGAUGGCGAAGGCAGGUCACUGGGCCGCAACUGACGCUGAGGAGCGGAAAAGCAUGGGGGAGCGAACAGG
rnacentral:rRNA from 1 species